UUUAAUUCGAUGGUAAGCGAAGAACCUUACCCAGACUUGACAUCCUUGGAAGCACUGCGAAAGCAGAGUGUGCCUCCGGGAACCAAGUGACAGGUGUUGCAUGGCCGUCGUCAGCUCGUGUCGUGAGAUGUUUGGUUAAGUCCAUCAACGAGCGCAACCCUUGUGGCUAGUUGAAUUUUUCUAGUCAGACUGCCCUGGUAACAGGGAGGAAGGAGGGGAUGAUGUCAGGUCAGUAUUACCCUUACGUCUGGGGCUACAAACACGCUACAAUGGCCGGUACAAAGGGCUGCCAAGUCGCGAGACGGAGCAAAUCCCAUCAAAACCGGUCCCAGUUCGGAUUGCAGGCUGAAACUCGCCUGCAUGAAGUCGGAAUCGCUAGUAACGGUAGGUCAGCACACUACCGUGAAUACGUUCCCGGGUCUUGUACACACCGCCCGUCAAACCAUGAAAGUCGCCAAUACCUGACGUCUUAGCUAGUCUAGGCCUAAGGUAGGGGAGAUGAUUGGGGUUAAGUCGUAACAAGGUAAC
rnacentral:rRNA from 1 species